rnacentral:Y_RNA from 1 species
GGCUGGACUGAGUACAGUGGUAUUUACAACUAAUUGGUCACAGUGUUACAGAUUUCUUUGUUCCUUCUUCAUGCCUACUACUGCUUCACUUACCUAGCCUUAA